ACUCCUACGGGAGGCAGCAGUGGGGAAUUUUGCGCAAUGGGCGAAAGCCUGACGCAGCAACGCCGCGUGAGUGAUGAAGGCUUUCGGGUCGUAAAGCUCUGUCAAUGGGAAAGAAGUGUAUUGCAGCUAAUAUCUGCGAUACUUGACGGUACCCAUAAAGGAAGCACCGGCUAACUCCGUGCCAGCAGCCGCGGUAAUACGGGGGGUGCAAGCGUUGUUCGGAAUUAUUGGGCGUAAAGCGCGUGUAGGCGGUUUGUUAAGUCUGUUGUGAAAGCCCUGGGCUCAACCCAGGAAGUGCACUGGAUACUGGCAGACUUGAAUACGGGAGAGGGUAGUGGAAUUCCUGGUGUAGGAGUGAAAUCCGUAGAUAUCAGGAGGAACACCGGUGGCGAAGGCGGCUACCUGGACCGAUAUUGACGCUGAGACGCGAAAGCGUGGGUAGCAAACAGGAUUAGAUACCCUGGUAGUCCACGCCGUAAACGAUGAGAACUAGGUGUCGCGGGGUA
rnacentral:rRNA from 1 species